rnacentral:rRNA from 1 species
AGAGUUUGAUCCUGGCUCAGGAUGAACGCUAGCGGCAGGCUUAACACAUGCAAGUCGAGGGGCAGCGAGGGUAAUAGCAAUAUUACCUGUCGGCGACCGGCGCACGGGUGCGUAACGCGUAUGCAACCUACCAUCAACAGGGGGAUAACACUGAGAAAUUGGUACUAAUACCCCAUAAUAUCUCAUGCGGCAUCGCAUGGGGUUGAAAACUCCGGUGGUUGAUGAUGGGCAUGCGUUGUAUUAGCUGGUUGGUGAGGUAACGGCUCACCAAGGCGACGAUACAUAGGGGGACUGAGAGGUUAACCCCCCACAUUGGUACUGAGACACGGACCAAACUCCUACGGGAGGCAGCAGUGAGGAAUAUUGGUCAAUGGACGCAAGUCUGAACCAGCCAUGCCGCGUGCAGGAUGACGGCUCUAUGAGUUGUAAACUGCUUUUGUACGAGGGUAAACCCCGAUACGUGUAUUGGGUUGAAAGUAUCGUACGAAUAAGGAUCGGCUAACUCCGUGCCAGCAGCCGCGGUAAUACGGAGGAUCCGAGCGUUAUCCGGAUUUAUUGGGUUUAAAGGGAGCGUAGAUGGGUUGUUAAGUCAGUUGUGAAAGUUUGCGGCUCAACCGUAAAAUUGCAAUUGAUACUGGCGUCCUUGAGUACAGUUGAGGUGGGCGGAAUUCGUGGUGUAGCGGUGAAAUGCUUAGAUAUCACGAAGAACUCCUAUUGCGAAGGCAGCUCACUAAACUGCAACUGACAUUGAGGCUCGAAAGUGUGGGUAUCAAACAGGAUUAGAUACCCUGGUAGUCCACACGGUAAACGAUGAAUACUCGCUGUUUGCGAUAUACAGCAAGCGGCCAAGCGAAAGCAUUAAGUAUUCCACCUGGGGAGUACGCCGGCAACGGUGAAACUCAAAGGAAUUGACGGGGGCCCGCACAAGCGGAGGAACAUGUGGUUUAA